rnacentral:rRNA from 1 species
UAGGGAAUCUUCCACAAUGGACGCAAGUCUGAUGGAGCAACGCCGCGUGAGUGAAGAAGGUUUUCGGACCGUAAAGCUCUGUUGUUGGUGAAGAAGGAUAGAGGUAGUAACUGGCCUUUAUUUGACGGUAAUCAACCAGAAAGUCACGGCUAACUACGUGCCAGCAGCCGCGGUAAUACGUAGGUGGCAAGCGUUGUCCGGAUUUAUUGGGCGUAAAGCGAGCGCAGGCGGAAGAAUAAGUCUGAUGUGAAAGCCCUCGGCUUAACCGAGGAAUUGCAUCGGAAACUGUUUUCUUGAGUGCAGAAGAGGAGAGUGGAACUCCAUGUGUAGCGGUGGAAUGCGUAGAUAUAUGGAAGAACACCAGUGGCGAAGGCGGCUCUCUGGUCUGCAACUGACGCUGAGGCUCGAAAGCAUGGGUAGCGAACAGGAUUAGAUACCCUGGUAGUCCAUGCCGUAAACGAUGAGUGCUAAGUGUUGGGAGGCUUCCGCCUCUCAGUGCUGCAGCUAACGCAUUAAGCACUCCGCCUGGGGGAGUACGACCGCAAGGUUGAAAC